UGGCGGAGCCUGAGUGAGACCCAGUGCCUCCGGGGUCAGGCCUGAAUCAGAGACACUGCAGCCCGGGACAGCCACAUCAGUUACCUUGCCCUUCUGGAAAUGUGUAGGCGCGGUCCUCUUCUUGGGCAGUCUGGAAGUCUACCCCUCGGGCCUCGGCUCCUGUUCCAGAGGAGCAGAAACGCUCUUUGACUGCACACAAGGACUAGACAGCAGAAGCUUAGAGAAACCCCAGGAAUCCCUUUGUGCUCUGUUCCAGCCUGUCCAAGGUUCUGACACCUCAUGGUAAGUACUGGAUUGUUUUUUCUUUUUAAAGACUGGUGUGAAAGGCAGAGUUACUGAUGAGGCAGUGGUGGAGAGAGAGUCAGUGUAUGGGU
rnacentral:lncRNA from 1 species